ensembl:lncRNA
AAAAAAAUCAUACAAACCUGCCGCCCCGGGCAUGAGGCCAGCCAACCCUUUCCCUGUAGCCCCGGGCUGUGUGUGGCAGGGACGCCGGGAACCAUGAGAGGCGGUUGUGGGACGCUCUUUAUGGGGUAGUGUAGGGGGAGCCGGGGAAGGAGGGUCUUUGCGGGGGUUUUCUUUCUCUCGGGGAGGGGGGCCUCAUGCUUUCUGUUCUCCUAGGCGGGUGCCCGCCCGGGAGCUAGUGCUGAUGUCCAGGGGGUGUCUCUUUGCGGCGCAUCCUUCGCCAUUAGGGGUCUGGGGGGAGGGGUGUUCUCUUCUCUCCGGGUUGCUAGGGAGUUGCUAGGGCGCCAUGUUGGGCGAUUUGGUGCCCUGGAAGUGAUAUCCCCGGCGGGAUUUCUCUUCCGGUGCGGCGGGCCAGCGCCGGACCCGGCCAAGUUAGGACGGAGGCAGGAAAUGGCGGCGACGCUGCUGCAGCAGCUGCCGGGCCCCCGAGCUCCACUGUGCCGGGCCCAGGCCGCCUAGAGAGCCGCCGAGCCAGCGCCGGGCCCGGGCCGCAGCCAUCCCGGGCCGGACUCCGAGCACUUUACAUACAUGAGAGAAUUGGAAGCUAAAGCUACCAAAGAAGUUGAAAGAAAACUAAGCAGGGAUUUAGUGCAAGAAGAGGAAGAACAGUUGAUGGAAGAAAGGAAAAAGAGAAAAGAAGACAAGAAAAAGAAGGAAGCUGCUCAAAAAAAGGUAUGUGGAUCAUUUAAGUUAAAAAAAAUAGGAUUUGGCUUUUGUUUUUUUUCUCAGACUAAUUUUGCUUAUUGUAAUAUAGCUGUUAAAGAUAAGCCCUUUUUUUUUUUUUUUUAAAUCUCAUUAUAGCACUUCCAAAGCACAAUGCAAUCAUCAAGUAACUGUCUUACUGAACAUCUUUACUGAUCUUGCAGGCAUAGUUUUUUCAAAGCUAAAAAUCUUGUUUAGAUAUCCAUUUAGCUCACAGAUCUUCAGUUGAUAGGGACGUUUCUGGAUGCAAGCCCAUGCAUACACAAUGUGAAGACUGACAUAGUAUAAAAUGUUUUUUAAAAUAGUUGUUUUUAGCUGUUAGCCUUAUUUUAAUACAUCUGAUUAGCCUUCUGUGAUUAGUGUAACUCUUCAUCACACAUGCUUUAUCAAAGAUGGAUAAAAUUAAAACAUUGGCAGCAGGGAGUGGGGUUUAAGACUAGUUAUGGUAAAGUGCUUUGAAGAUAUAAGAGCAUUGAGUGAAUACUAAGAAUUAUUCCCAAGACAUUUUUAAAGAAAAAAUACAAAAUUACUUUUUGGGUAAUGUUAAAACAGUAUCCGUCAGUCAUUAGUAUUUAACAUUGUAGAUGCCCUGGUUGAGAGGAGCCCAUAAAUCUGGCUAAGAACAUAUCUCCAUUUCAGACUUCCAAUUCCUGUAAGGAGACAUCUAAAAUAAGCCUAGUUCUCAAUUUUUUCUUGAUCCUCCUUAGCAAUGUAAAAUGUUCAGUUCAUAUGCAGAAAGAUGGCUAGUCAUUUCUGCAACCCAGACCUCUUGUCAAAAUAAAAGGGUUUAUCUCAUUUACA